rnacentral:lncRNA from 7 species
GCUGGGAUAAAUGAGAUAGCAUCUUUUUCAUUCAGGCACUAUAACUGAGGUCUAAAGAUUUAUUGGCUUUAUCUAACAGUGCAUUUAGGGGUAUAAUUGUUCAUAAUAUAGGGUGAUCUUGCUUUGGUAAUAUUGACAGCAAGAAAAAAAAAUAAAAAAAAGAGAGAGACAAAUAGUAAACAAGGGAAGUUUCUCAAUAUUUAUUUUCUGAGGUGUUCACCCAUUCCCUAAUUCCCUGCCGCCCAGAAUGUUUCUAAUUAGGAACUAGUAUUUCAAGUCAAAUCAAUAAUAUUUGUCAAAUGCAGUACAGUUUGCACUAGUUCUGUUCUCUUGCUCAACUUCUGUAAAAGGCUUUAUAAUUCAGUCACAUGCAAAUAUUUAUCUUUUACAAUCUGUCCAAAAUUUAAAGUUUCCUGAUGCACCUGUUUUUCAGUCUAUUAUGCAUUAUAAUUUUUCUCUCUUCUCCUAUCAUUUAUUAUAUUCUGGAAGCUUACCCACCACCCAAAAGUUGUUUCUACAAAGUUAUAGCAAUGAAUGAAAUAUUGGAUAAAACUAUACUACAGUUGUAAAGACUUUAAAUGAAUAUUUCAACUGAAAUCAAACAUACCGUUCUUACUGCAUUUGAUUUCUACAUGGAUUGCAAGACUCAUGUUCUUUCUCAGCAUAACAUCAAUAAGCUAUUUUCUCCUGCAGCUGCUCAGAAGCUACAUUUGUUACUUUUAUGAAGAAGACAGAAAUGUGAAAUCUCCAAACAGUAAAAUCAUGGAUAAUGUUGACUGUAAAAGUCAAUACUAGAGACAACUUGAUGGAAACUGAUGAAGCUUAUGAUAGUACAGAGACUGAUACUGUGAAGUGCAAAGGAACAGUUCAGUUUGUUGAGUUCUGCCAGAUUUUGUUGUUUUGAAUAUAGUGUUGCCCAAAUAUUCUUUACAGAAAAGAAAAGAUACACCCUAUUGCAAGAGUCACAAAGGUUCCAAAGAUGAGAAAAGAGUGUGAGAAUUGACUUCUGUAAUAUACUCAACAGACUUAAAGUCUAUUAGAGCAUAUGGGAAAGUGAAUGCUUAACUGACAGAUCUUUACUAAGAAUGGCCCUGUUAACUAGGGAGAUGGAAAUCCAGGAGGUAUUAGCUGACCUCAGCUGACCUUCGCUUUUUCCUGUUAGCAGAGAGAAGCUUUUAAGGAUUUUCCAUAACUGUGUUGAACUGAAUUCAUAAAUGCACAGGAAAAUGAUGACCUUCUUGCAGAAUGUUCUUGUCUGAAUCUAACUGUAUCAAGUUGACAGCCUGUUUUUUUCACCUCAAAAUAAACUAAAUAGGAACUCAAAAACUUCUUGAAACUAGUUGCAAGAAUGGAUUAUACUGGUGAUUUUUGGAUGUUGUGUUCUGUCUUCUGUUUUUGUUUGUUGUUUUGUUUUGUUUUUCCUCAAAACAAUUUUAUGUUUAUUAUUACAAUACUAUUUCAAUAUUGUUUAUUAUCACAAUGCCCUUGAGAAAAUUUUUCAGACACAAAGAAUUUCCCAAGAAAGUUUGAUAAGUCUCAACUACAUAGUUCUCUGCAGUUUUCAAUUCAGUUAAGCCUUGAGAAUUGCAAAUACCAGCUUGAAAGUGCAUCCACUUUGAAGACUAAAGUCUGAAUUAAAUAAGGAUUAUCUGACUGUAACUUUACCCUGAGAAAUUGAGGAUGGGUUUCCAAGAAAAGCAAAAGAAAGGAACUGUUUUAGAAUUUGCAGAAUAACAGACUGUAAAUGUGAAACAUAGAUUGAAGAUAGUCUGUACACAGGCAAGGUAGUACUCGAUGGCCUCAAGGAGAAAUUCAGAUAAUUUUUUGGGACUGAAAACAGCAAAGACAUUAAAAGUUAAGAGAAAUGUCACUUAGCAUGGAGAAAAAAUCGGAUUUAUAAUAUAGAGAAUACUCUUAUAAAAAAUAAUAAUAAUAAAGCUUUUAGUAAUCACAAAAAUGUAUGUAUGGAGUAGGGGUAUAAGAGGCAAUCUAAUUAGACCAAAUGAGGAAUAUGCUUUAAAGAUCCUCUAGAGGAAAAACAGAGAAUGGACUGUUUUUAAACAUUAUAAUCAAAUUUUCUCUUCGUCUUUAUGGACAGUUCAUAAGUAUUUCUUAGAGCUAUAGGAAACAUUAAUAUAAUACCAUCAUUUUUCAUGAUAUUUGUCUCUAAAAGGCAUAAUUUGAGUACAAAUACUGUUUUAAGUUUAAAUACUAGACUAACAAAAUUAUAUUUUGCUAUUAUGUUGUUUGUAAGCUGACUCUGACCCCCUUAAUGGUUUAUUUCAUACUGCUAUUUGUACCACUCAUAAACUUACAGAUAAACUUGUGUAUCUUCCUUUGCUCAAGGAGACAAAAGUUUGGUUCUGGCAAAGAAUCAACCAAGAACUUCUACAGCAAACUGAAGUUUAAGACAAAAAUUGAGCUAAGUAAGCAUCAAGCAGGUAUUUUCUUUCAAAAUAAUUACACAGACUACAGAACCAGAACUCUACAGCGUAGAUUUGGAAUUGCAGUCUUCAUUAGCAUUUUGCAAAAAUGCAUAUUUGGUAGCAUGCUUAAUGGUCAGAUUGUGAUUCUAACUGUUCUUGCAAAAACUCAUUAAGUGUCAGUAAAUAUGAAGGGACUGAAAGAAAACAGUAAGAUUAAAGGGGCAAUGAGGGUUCCAGUAGAGUAAAGAUGUAUUUUCAUUCACUGUAUAAACAGAAUUGCAAUUGCCAUUUCAGUGCUUAUGUAUCAAUGCUAAAUAAUUAGUCGGUAAGGAAAGCAUUUUAUGUCUGUAUACUGUAAAUUUAUGGGCAUGCAUGCAGUGAGUAAUAUGCAGCAAGUGUAAAAUAAGUAAAUAUACAUAAAGAU